UUAACAUCCUUGACUCAAUCUUGUUCUUGAUGCUUCUUUGGUUUUAACAUCUUUUGGGAUUUCAUUUUAAAUUCAGAAUCAGCUUUAACAUUUCUCAACAUACUAUGCAAAUUUCCAUUUUAAAUGUUAAGAAUCUUGAGAUUAUCCCAUUGACUAAAAUGUAAAAAAAAUUAAAUUACAUUUAAAUGAGUAGAUUUAAAAUAUUAGAUUAUGUAAAUAUAAAUGUUUUAGUUAGAAUAUUUUGUAGAACAAAUUCUAGGGCAUGACCUUAUUGUUUUAUUCUC
rnacentral:lncRNA from 1 species